rnacentral:rRNA from 1 species
AUUGAACGCUGGCGGCAUGCCUUACACAUGCAAGUCGAACGGUAACAGGUCUUCGGAUGCUGACGAGUGGCGAACGGGUGAGUAAUACAUCGGAACGUGCCUAGUAGUGGGGGAUAACUACUCGAAAGAGUGGCUAAUACCGCAUGAGAUCUACGGAUGAAAGCAGGGGAUCGCAAGACCUUGUGCUACUAGAGCGGCCGAUGGCAGGUUAGGUAGUUGGUGGGAUAAAAGCUUACCAAGCCGGCGAUCUGUAGCUGGUCUGAGAGGACGAUCAGCCACACGGGGAGCGAGACACGGCCCAGAGUCCUACGGGAGGCAGCAGUGGGGAAUUUUGGACAAUGGGCGAAAGCCUGAUCCAGCAAUGCCGCGUGCAGGAUGAAGGCCUUCGGGUUGUAAACUGCUUUUGUACGGAACGAAAAGCCCCGGGUUAAUACCCUGGGGUCAUGACGGUACCGUAAGAAUAAGCACCGGCUAACUACGUGCCAGCCGCCGCAGUAA